rnacentral:rRNA from 1 species
UAUGUGAUCGUCUCUCGCAUAUCAAUAAGCGGAGGAAAAGAAACUAACAAGGAUUCCCCUAGUAACGGCGAGUGAAGCGGGAAGAGCUCAAAUUUGAAAUCUUAAAGGGUUUCCCUUUACGAAUUGUAGUUUAAAGAAGUGUUUUCUGUUGAGGUUUUGGUAAAAGUUCUUUGGAAUAGGACAUCAUAGAGGGUGAGAAUCCCGUAUUUGACCUUUACUUUCAACUUUGUGAUACACUUUCAAAGAGUCGGAUUGUUUGGGAACUGCAGUCCAAAAUGGGUGGUAAAUUUCAUCUAAAGCUAAAUAUUGGCGAGAGACCGAUAGCGAACAAGUACCGUGAGGGAAAGAUGAAAAGAACUUUGAAAAGAGAGUUAAACAGUACGUGAAAUUGUCAAAAGGGAAGCGUUUGACACCAGUGUUGUUUUUCUGAAAAUCAAUUAAAGAACUGUUUAUGCUAAGUUGUUCAGACUUUAUCAGCUAACUGUUUAGUUUUGAGCUUUUCUUUAAUGCACUUUUCAGUUAACAAGUCAACAUCAAUUUCUUUUGCUGUAAAAAAGCUUGAGGAAGGUGGCUUGAGAUUCGUCUUAAGUGUUUAUAGCCUCUUGCCUAUGCAGUCGGAGAGAUUGAGGUCUGCAGCGUAGAUCCUUCGGGGCUAAAUGCAUUUGUGCUAAGUUAUAGCAUUUUAUAGACAACUUGUUGACUAUGAUUUGUCUUGUAGCUUACUCGCUUAUGUUAUUUUACCUACGCUUAGGAUGUUGAUCUACAGAGCGAGAGU